GAAGUCAGCCUCAUACCAAACCAUCCGUUUUUGUCAUGAAAAAUGGAACAAAUGUCGCUUGUCUGGUGAAGGAAUUCUACCCCAAGGAUAUAAGAAUAAAUCUCGUGUCAUCCAAGAAGAUAACAGAGUUUGAUCCUGCUAUUGUCAUCUCUCCCAGUGGGAAGUACAAUGCUGUCAAGCUUGGUAAAUAUGAAGAUUCAAAUUCAGUGACAUGUUCAGUUCAACACGACAAUAAAACUGUGCACUCCACUGACUUUGAAGUGAAGACAGAUUCUACAGAUCACGUAAAACCAAAGGAAACUGAAAACACAAAGCAACCUUCAAAGAGCUGCCAUAAACCCAAAGCCAUAGUUCAUACCGAGAAGGUGAACAUGAUGUCCCUCACAGUGCUUGGGCUACGAAUGCUGUUUGCAAAGACUGUUGCCGUCAAUUUUCUCUUGACUGCCAAGUUAUUUUUCUUGUAAGGCUGACUGGCAUGAGGAAGCUACACUCCUGAAGAAACCAAAGGCUUACAAAAAUGCAUCUCCUUGGCUUCUGACUUCUUUGUGAUUCAAGUUGACCUGUCAUAGCCUUGUUAAAAUGGCUGCUAGCCAAACCACUUUUUCUUCAAAGACAACAAACCCAGCUCAUCCUCCAGCUUGAUGGGAAGACAAAAGUCCUGGGGAAGGGGGGUUUAUGUCCUAACUGCUUUGUAUGCUGUUUUAUAAAGGGAUAGAAGGAUAUAAAAAGAUAUAGGACUCUUUUUUUACUCCUACAAGUGAUACACUUUGAAAAUGAUGUUUUGUUCCUUUUGACUUUCUUUACCUUUUGAAGUAGAAAGUGGGAACCAACAGGUUCACAGCUUCAUUCCUCAUGAGGCAAAUAGGCCUUGGGAGAAGAAGAGCGGGUGCCCUUUUAUCUAAACAUGGAAGGCUCUGCUCAACUGAGCACUAGAUUUGCUACAAACCAGCAUCAUCUUCUUCCUCCUGUCCUCACGGCUUGUCCCACCCUCUAUGUUCACUUCAGGAGCCACACUAGAGAUUCUGCAUGGCGUGGAGGAGGACAAAGUUUCAGCACUUUCUGCCUCUCCUAAUACUUUACAAAUGAGAUUACAUUUGAAUUUGCUAAUACUUUAUGAGCAGGCAAUGAGGUUUCCAAAAUCUCAUCUAAAUACUCUCCAAUCUAUUAGCAAAAAUCAGAGUAAAAUACAGAGGAAAGGCACUGCUUUCUGUUAAUUGAUUUAACAUGCAUGAAUUAGCUCCCUCUGAGUUCCAGGCACUAUGCUGAGAGUACAAAGAAGACACAAGUCUGCUUUCAAGCAACUCACUGUGAAAGUGUUUUUGAAGGGAGGAACAGAAAUGAGACCCCUAUCUUUCCCUAUAAAAACAACAUUUUUACUGUCUUUUGCCUGCCAAUCUGUAUUUGAAACCAUUGGACACUGAUUCUCUGGCCUGGGACUUUGGCAUUGAUGGUUUUCUGCCUUUCUUCUCAGCCUCUGCCUCUAUUGCAUUUAUUAAACUGCAUUGUGUGC